rnacentral:lncRNA from 1 species
AUUUUUCAGAGAUAAAUUGUGGUAUUAACAGAUGACUUGCUUAUUAAAUAUAAGCUGCCUUUCUGGUGAUGAACUAAUUUAGGGAUAUGCAUGCAAUUAAUCAUGAAAAUAAUGUACUCUUCCUUAAAUUUUACUGGCUAUUGCUACAUCUUUUAUUAACCAUGAAUUUAAUAAUAGAUAAUGGAUUUUCAAAUAAUACAAGUAGUGUUCUACUUUAAGAAACGUGUCUGGUUAAGGAAAGAUAGAAGCUAGACUGUUCAUAUUUUAGACAACUUUAUUUUCUUUGUUUCUCUCUAUAGUCAUUGAAGAGAAGAAGAUUCCUUCAGGGAGCAAUGAAGCAUAGGUUUGAACUCUGGUGAAAUCUCUCCGUGAAAUCUCUCCUUUCAGUGUUGAUGGGGACGUGAGGAGGCAAGCCUAAUGCUAGCCUUUAUGUCUGCUUCUCAAGGCAUCAAGCUGACUUGAGCAAUCUCUUUUGCUGUAGCACCAACAUAUGCCUCUGAUAUCAUGGGCCAAUGACAUCAGAGAAUAGCAGUCAAACAACUGCAAGACCCACUGGAUGUGAAUGGGAAUCAACAAGAGCACUUAUUAUUUGCAAAGUGUCAGAGCAGAAAUUUUGAUAUCUGCUAAAGUUGAAAUGGAUCUCCAUGGCAAUCAUGUAUUCAAUGGAGACCCUUCUUUGACAACCUAAAUGGCAAGUAAAAGGAAAGAACAGGAAGUGCAGGAAGCCAGAAGCACAAUUUUAGAUCAAGUACUCUCUUCAUCACUUGGCAUAAGGACUGCUCUCAAAAAAAUGUGCAGCUUCCACUCAGUGCUUACUUGAGUGCAUCCUGCUACUGUAGCAACGAAGGCCCUAUCUCACAAAACAAACCCCACUGAAGGUACAUGUGUAACCUGAAUGCAAGGAUAACAGAGCACUGUGCUGAGAUUUUUUUAACUGGCAGUUAUGGGAAGGGACUUCAACUUCAGUGGCCUUGAUCCAUCACAUCCAAG